CCUUGUACACACCGCCCGUCACACCACGAAAGUCGGUAACGCCCGAAGCCAGUGGCCCAACCGCAAGGAUGGCGCCUACCACGGUGUGGUCGAUGACUGGGGUG
rnacentral:rRNA from 1 species